UACGUAGGGGGCAAGCGUUGUCCGGAAUCAUUGGGCGUAAAGCGCGUGUAGGCGGCUGGCUAAGUCCGCUCUGAAAGCCCGGGGCUCAACCCCGGGAGGCGGGUGGAUACUGGUCAGCUCGAGUCCGGAAGAGGAGUGUGGAAUUCCUGGUGUAGCGGUGAAAUGCGCAGAUAUCAGGAAGAACACCCGUGGCUAAGGCGGCUCUCUAGUACGGUACUGACGCUGAGACGCGAAAGCGUGGGGAGCGAACAGG
rnacentral:rRNA from 1 species